GCAGGGAAUCUUGCGCAAUGGGCGAAAGCCUGACGCAGCGACACCGCGUGGAGGAUGAAGGCCCUAGGGUUGUAAACUCCUUUUCUAGGGGAAGAGUAAGGACGGUACCUUAGGAAUAAGGAUCGGCUAACUACGUGCCAGCAGCCGCGGUAAUACGUAGGAUCCGAGCGUUGUCCGGAUUUACUGGGCGUAAAGGGUGCGUAGGCGGCAUAGUAAGUCUUAUGUGAAAUCUCCCGGCUUAACUGGGAGGGGUCAUAGGAUACUGCUAAGCUUGAGGGCAGCAGAGGAGAGCGGAAUUCCGGGAGUAGUGGUGAAAUGCGUAGAUACCCGGAGGAACACCCGAGGCGAAGGCGGCUCUCUGGGCUGUACCUGACGCUGAGGCACGAAAGCGUGGGGAGCAAACCGG
rnacentral:rRNA from 1 species